rnacentral:rRNA from 1 species
UACGGGGGGGGCAAGCGUUGUUCGGAAUUACUGGGCGUAAAGAGCUCGUAGGCGGUUUGUCGCGUCGUCCGUGAAAACUGGGGGCUCAACCCCAAGCUUGCGGGCGAUACGGGCAGACUUGAGUACUGCAGGGGAGACUGGAAUUCCUGGUGUAGCGGUGAAAUGCGCAGAUAUCAGGAGGAACACCGGUGGCGAAGGCGGGUCUCUGGGCCGAUACUGACGCUGAGGAGCGAAAGCGUGGGGAGCGAACAGG